UACGUAGGUGGCGAGCGUUGUCCGGAUUUAUUGGGCGUAAAGCGAGCGCAGGCGGUCAAUUAAGUCUGAUGUGAAAGCCCCCGGCUCAACCGGGGAGGGUCAUUGGAAACUGGUUGACUUGAGUGCAGAAGAGGAGAGUGGAAUUCCAUGUGUAGCGGUGAAAUGCGUAGAUAUAUGGAGGAACACCAGUGGCGAAGGCGACUCUCUGGUCUGUAACUGACGCUGAGGCUCGAAAGCGUGGGUAGCAAACAGG
rnacentral:rRNA from 1 species